GACGAACGCUGGCGGCGUGCCUAAAACAUGCAAGUCGAACGGAGGCUUCGGCCUCAGUGGCGAACGGCGGAGUAAUACAUAAGCAACGUGCCCUGAAGACUGGGAUAGUCAUUGGAAACGAUGGGUAAUACCAGAUGCGGCCACUUUCCGGCAUCGGAGAGUGAUCAAAUGGUUUUUCGCUUCAGGAGCGGCUUAUGGCCUAUCAGGUAGUUGGUGGGGUAAUGGCCUACCAAGCCGACGACGGGUAGCGGGUCUGAGAGGAUGAUCCGCUCGAGUGGGACUGAGACACGGCCCACACACCUACGGGUGGCAGCAGUUGGGAAUCUUGCACAAUGGGGGCAACCCUGAUGC
rnacentral:rRNA from 1 species